rnacentral:pre_miRNA from 1 species
AAAAAAUGUAAACCCUAAAUUUUUGUGUCCAACUUUGACUGUCCGUCUUAUAUGAAAUUUUUUUAUAAUUCGUAUUUUUAUUGUUGUUAGAUGAUAAAACAUGAUUAAUAUUUUAUGCAUGACUUGUCUUUUUAAUUUUUUUCAUAAUUUUUUUAAAUAAGAUGGAUGGUCAAACGUUGGGCACGGAAAUCAGGGUUUGUCUUUUU